GAUGAACGCUAGCGGGAGGCCUAACACAUGCAAGCCGAGCGGUAUUGUUUCUUCGGACAUGAGAGAGCGGCGUACGGGUGCGUAACACGUGUGCAACCUGCCUUUAUCUGGGGGAUAGCCUUUCGAAAGGAAGAUUAAUACUCCAUAAUAUAUUGAACGGCAUCGUUUAAUAUUGAAAGCUCCGGCGGAUAGAGAUGGGCACGCGCAAGAUUAGCUAGUUGGUGAGGUAACGGCUCACCAAGGCGAUGAUCUUUAGGGGGCCUGAGAGGGUGAUCCCCCACACUGGUACUGAGACACGGACCAGACUCCUACGGGAGGCAGCAGUGAGGAAUAUUGGUCAAUGGGUGCAAGCCUGAACCAGCCAUCCCGCGUGAAGGACGACUGCCCUAUGGGUUGUAAACUUCUUUUGGAUAGGGAUAAACCUACCCUCGAGAGGGUAGCUGAAGGUACUAUACGAAUAAGCACCGGCUAACUCCGUG
rnacentral:rRNA from 1 species